rnacentral:lncRNA from 1 species
CGGGGGCCUCCUCUGACCUUGCGCUUCGCUCCUAAAGGUCACUGCACGGUGCUCUAGGGGGUCAGGUUCCUGCAGUUGGGGACCGGGGGAAGGCAGUAAUCAAUCUGGGCCCCGCCAGGCCAGGGGCGCCGAUCCAGAGCAGCCCUCCUGUGCCCGCUGCCCGGCAGGGUUAUUUAUAACCGCGGGUCGCCUUACCUCCUGACCUUUAGCAUCUCCUCGCCGCCCACUGCGAACAAACAGUCCUCUGUGUGCACCCUGGGCAGGCCUCACUGCAGCCCUGCAGGAAGCAGGAUGCUGACCCGGAGUCGGCGCCCCCUCGCUCCCUAGGGUGGACCCAGCCACGUGUGAGUUGGGGGGAGGUGGGUGCGGUGGGAGAAAGGUGCGAGAAAGACUUAGAACUACUCUUGUUCCCUUGGUUCCCAGGUUGAAAAUGUUGGUCUAUUCUGGGCGGCAGUUUUAUUUACAAUGUGGGGCUCCCCAGCCUGGGUCUGCCCAAAGGGGUGCCCUCUUCAAAGCCAGCAGGAAGGACGCAGCACUGGUGACUGGACACCCCCUCCCCCCGCACAGGCGUGGUCCCUGGAAUCACACAGGACAACUGUGCUCUCCCCAGCAGCAGCCCUGCCUUCUUAGAUGGCAGCUGAAGCUCAGAGAGGGAAGCGACUGGUCCAACGUCACACAGCCACCCAUGGCAGAUUCCCCAGCUCCUGGCUGAUGGGAAGCAGCUGGAUCAGAACUCCUGAUUAUGACCUGGAGGAGCCACUGUAAAAGGAGGCUGGGGAUAGGGAGAUGGCCCAUUCAUUCAACACGUUUUUGUUGGUCACUUACUGGGCGCCAGGCACCAUUCCAGGCAGAAAUCCUCACCCUUGUGGGGCUGAUAGUCUGGGGACCUGGAGGGACCUGGAGCCUGCGGUCCCUUGAUGGAGUCCCAUUCCAGGCAGCUGCUGAGGGUCUUGAGUCCCAGAGAGGGAGACUGAGUCAGGGAGCGAGGGCUGGGCAGAGGGAGGGUGGGUGUGGGCCUGCAGCCUUGGGCUGAGUAUUUGGUGCCGCCGGCCAGCCAAAGCCAAGUGAGUGUCAACAUCCCAAGGCCACGAGGGCUUUGUCUCAACAGUGGGCGCCCUCCCUGCACGCCUUCAGAUGACCUUGCACCCAGAGCGGAGGGUGAAAGUCCCACACAGUGCCCAAUCUUGGCAGUCAUCCUGGAGGAAGCCAUGGACUGGGCCCAGCCAAGGGGCUGGUUCUGCCCAGUAUGGGAGGAACUGAGUCAGGAGGUUUGAGGAGGGCAGCCGUUAGGGAGGAGCGGGCCUGGAUGCUUCCUUCCUUUUUGGCCACGCUCUCAGACACUUUGAAGCACUUGGAAAACUUUGGCUGUGUGACUUGCCCAUCCCCUUGCCCUCUCUGGGCCACAGUUCCCACAAAUAAAAGUGAAGGGGUCAGCUGGGAUGAGCAGUUUCAGCUCUGGCUGCCUGGGGUUCUUGUCUAGGGACUCAGAGACCCUCCCACUCGAGUCUGGCUCAGCCGUGAGUGUUCCCCUUGGCCCAGUGAAGGCCAAGGGCACAGGCCGGGGGUGGAGUCAGGAGUUGCCGCAGCUGUGGGUAGCUGGGUGGCCAACAACCCCUUUCAGUGUGUGAGGAAGUGCCGAGUACACUUAUGUGUGCCUGUGUGAGCAUGUAGGACGUGCUGUAGCCACGUGUGUGUAGGAGUGUGCCUUUGUGGGUAGGCGGUUGUAUAAAACAUUAUGUACACGGGAAGGAGUGUGUGUCUUGGUGUGUGUUUAUGUGGGGAUCAAGAGGACAGUGUGUGUACAAGUGUGUCUGUGGCGUCACACAUGUGUAGGUUUCAGAUGAGGAAACCGAGGCGCAGAGAGGCAAAGGGAUGUGUCGAAAGCCACACAGCUGGAGCAAGUGGUGGAACUGGCCUGGGAACAUGGGUUGGUGUGUUUUCCCUCCACCCCACAGCGACAUGGUGGGGGUGGGGGUGGGGGUGGGGAGUUGGCAGAGGCAGCCCUUUAAAAACUGCAGUAGGGCCACCACAAGUAAACAGAAGCCUUGACAGCUGUCGGGCCCUCUCUCCAAGCACAAGGCGGAGGCUGGCCCUGUUUCCAGCAGAAGGCCUUGGUCCGGCCGGCUGCCUUGACUCAGAGGACUCAGGCUCGCGUUGCUCCUUUGUGGGCUGGAGGGGCCCCGAGAUCACAGACCCCGGAGUGGGUGUGAGCACCGUCUCUGCACCCAGAAGCUGAGAUCAGCUUUUGGGCUGCUCUUUCUUCAGUCAUUUACUGGUUUCCCAUGAUUAUAAUAACUACCCCUGCUGAGCUUUAUAGUUCACAAAGUACUUUCACAAACACUCUUUCAUUUACUCCUCACAUCAGCCCUGUGAUGAGGAGUUAAUAUGACCAUUUUAUGGAAACAGAAACUGGAGUUCAGGGAGGGAGGUUCCGGGAAUGGCCUCAGAUCAGAAGGCCAGCAGUGGCCCUCACGCCAGCAUUCCCGAGCCCCGGGCCAGACCCGGCUCCUUCCUUCCACGGGGCAGCCUUCUCAGAGGAGUGCGGUGGCUUCUGGAGGGGCCGGCCUAUCUCAGUCUGCCAGCAGUGACCAGACAAUCUGCUCUCAUCAUCUGGGAGCUGGGUGAAGACCCCUCCCCACCCUCACCUCCUGCAAAUAUUGUGUGUUGGGGGUGGGGGGGACACAAAGAAGUAGAAGUGACUGCUGAGUGAGGGAGCUGGAGAGAGUACUGGGGAGGGGUCCCCCGCUGCCUUGGCCUUGGGCCCCGCAGAUGCAUGGAAGGGACCAGCAGUUCCUGGAACACGAGCCCAUCGCCGGGGUGCCCAGUGCCAGCUGUUGCCAUCUGCUUGUGGCAAAACGAGAAAAAUAGGACAAUACAGUGAAGUUUUCCUAAAGCUAGACCUACUCGAUCUGAAGUACGGCCCUUUCCCUGGAGCUGUGUAUUUUCAGGGUCUGUGCAUGUGUGUGUUUAAAAAGGACCUUUUCUUUGACAUUUUCUUUAAUGUCCUUAACCGAGCAAAAUAAAAGACUAGUGACCAUGUCAGAUCCUAAAUCGGCUUUUUGGAAAUGUUAGUGACUAAGGAAUCCGAAUGCCUGGGAAUCACGGAGCUGGCCCUGAUUCGGUGAGCCCUGGCACGGAGGACUUGUUUUUGAAUUCAGGGAUGAUCUCUGAACAGCUGGAAAAACCCCGGGGGAGGAGAGGUUGGGGUUCCUGCCUGGACUCAGCCCCUCAGCCCUGGAUCCCCAGGAAACCUGAGCAGAGGGAACAUUAGAGUCACUGCACAGGGAAUUCUGAGAAAGGCCUCGGGCUGAUUCUCCGUGCUGCACCCCCUCAGCCUCUUCUCUGACCCCCAGCCAGAGGGAAUGUACCCUCCAACCUCAGCCCUGCCUCCCCCAGCCCCCCAAGGCUGGAUCCAAAAUAGCCCAGGCCCCGGAGGAGACGUCAUGGGUCAGACUGGCUGCCUGCCCUCAGAGAGGGCAUGUCGGUAAUGCCCAAGGCCAAAUAUAGAGGGACACCAGACACCGCUGGGCCACCCAGGGCCUGGGGAGCCCGGCUGGCAUCUCAGGGCCUCCCCCACCCUCAUCCCUUCCCAGCCCUGCACCCCCAACCCGGGCUCCGGAGGCCAGCGCCUCCUGGCCAGGCCCACCCAGCCAGGACAUGUCCCAGCAAGCCCAGAGCCGAGCUGGAGGCUGGCCCGACGGGGUGCUGGGCCUGGGCUGGGCCUGGGCGUGGGGACACCCCUCCAUCUGGGGGUCUCAAAGCACUUUUAUAAGCGUCACUUCCCACAGGCUGCUGCCGAGAUCAGGAGGCCAAGAGGACCUGGUGUCUCCGGGGGGCCGGCUCCUGCCUCUGUUCCUCCCAGCUCGGGAAGGAGACCAGGCCGUAAACCUGCGGCGUGGGAGGCUUGGGAGGCGGGGGGCGGGCAGGCGGCCAGGUCUAACCCGAGUGAACUCCCGGUGGAAUCGAACUGCAAAUAAUGAGUCCUGAUUGCCGAGGUGGCCUCCACCCGCCACUCCCGGGAAUUAAAAGUCAAAGGGCAGAGCUGCUGACGCAAAUGUCAAGGGAGACACGCGGUGUGGAACAGCUGGGAUCCUGCUCCCCGGCCUGCCGCCCAAGGUCGCCGCCCCCAGCGCCCUGGAUCCGGCGUCCCCCAGGCUGGGCCCCGAGAGGCCCCAGUUCCCCAGGCGCAGCAGGGAAGGGGGCUCGGCUUCCUCUCCCUCCUCCUGGUUCUAAGGUCAACAGAACUCGAUUGGAGGAGGUUCAUCAGAAAUCCCCGUGCAACGGCGUUGCCGGACGCCUGCGGACGCGGAGAGGCAGCAGCUCGAGUCCUCUGGGCCUUCCCCGCCUCCCCCGCCAACAAGGGGGAGGAAACUUCUGCCGACGGGGGCGCGUGGCUCGCUAACACCUGCUGUGUCCCCUAGGUCGUCCCAGGGCCGGCACACCGUGGGCAGCUGCACCGUGGUCUGUGCACCAGUGGUGACCCCCAGCGGUCAGUGUGGGACUUGACCUUGGACCCAGCACUGAAGCCUCCGCCAGGCCAGGGGCUGGGAAACCCCGGGGGCGCCAGGUUUGGAGAUUUGAUCUUGGAAGGGAGGUGUUGGCGUUCGGAGGUGUUGGCGUUCGGAGGUGUUUUUCUCUGUGCUGAAUUUUCCUAAUCGCCCUGUGGCUGGAUCUCAGCCUGUGUCCCACUGUGAGCCAGUCAGCCUCAACAUGUCUAAGAGGCGCAUCAUCACUGAGCCCCUACCGGCUCUUACUCCUGACUUCCCUAUUUCUAUUAAUAGCACCACUACCCUCCCAGUCCCUCAGGCUCCAAACCUCCGUGUCAUUGUCCACAUCUCCCCACACUGGGCUGGCUGACCGGUCCUGCCCCUCCUCACCGUGCAGGUCAUUCUUCCACCCCUCCCGCGAUACUCAUGGCCACUGCCCCAGUCAAUGGACCUCUCUCUCACCUGAGCUACUGUCAUCCUCGACAAUGCCACUGGGUCAGACCUGGCUAUGUGACCGGUCCCUUCCACUUACUGGCUGUGUGACCUUGGGCAAGCUACUUAACUUCUCUGAGCUCAACUUCCUCAGCUGUAAAAUGAGGAUAAUAAUUACAGUCCCUACCUCAUAGAGCACUGCAUGAAUUGUGACGUAUGUGAAGACCCUGACACAUAGGAAAUGCUCAGUGACUGUGAAUUAUUAGAGAUCAUCCAUCCAAUCCAACUCUUCCAUUUUACAAACAAGGAAACUGAGGCUCAGAGAGCUGGAAGGAGAGCUAACGUCUGGCAUGGUGUCUUUACAACUUGCUACAGGGGUCCAGCCGGGUGGCACAGUGGUUAAGUUCACACGUUCUGCUUCGGUGGCCUGGGGUUUGCCGGUUCGGAUCCUGGGUGUGGGCCUACACACCAUACUGUGGUAGGCAUCCCACAUAUAAAGUAGAGGAAGAUGGGCAUGGAUGUUAGCUCAGGGCCAGUCUUCCUCAGCAAAAUGAGGCGGAUUGGUGGCAGAUGUUAGCCAGGGCUAAUCUUCCUCAAAAAUAGAAUAAAAUAAAAAUAAAACUUGCUACAGAGCAGGGGGAGUGGAAGUUCCCGGAGUCUUGAAGCUCCUCCACCACUGCCCACAUCAUCGCGAUCUGGAACCCAGAUCCAAAGGCCCCCUGCUGAGUUCACGGGGCACACCCUCCUGCCUUCAGGGGCAGGCAUGCUUGGGUGAGUGCUGAGGUCGCAAAUACCUUCUGGGAUGAGACAACUACAGGUGACGUCCAGCGGCUGUGAGUCAGGGAGACCCAUCUGCAAGGUGACGAGUGAGGCUGGGCACUCGGGCCGCAGGGGUGCUGGGCAUGCAGGGGUCGUGCCAGACGUCAGACAUCCAAAUAGGGUGGGCACCUCCUCCCGCAACAACCCCGCCCUCACACUCCUCCCCCAGCUCCCACUCACCCCCUCCAGUGCCCAGGCCUUCGCGUGGGGGUCCGUGGGGGCAGGGCAGGCUGCCUCCCGUCCAGAUAGUCCAGGCGGACGUUCUGAACAGUCCCUCGUGAAUGAGCACCUGGGGGCCAUACGCUCUUUGAAACUGAAGGUGGGAGCCCUGUUCUGGGGACAGGUUCUCAAAGCGGACUUCUCUCCACAAAGAGAAGAUGAUCAAGAGCAGCAAGAGCAGAUGAUCCAGGUUCAAACGUGGGCCUGUCCUAGAGUCCUAGGACACCUCCUGUCUAAGCCAGAGGUUCUCAAACAGGUUUUGCUCCUGGGGACACCUGGCAAUGCCUGGAGACAUGUUUGGUUGUUAUACUGGGAGGGAGGGUGUGCAUGACCUACUGGCAUCUAGUGGGGAGAGGCCAAGGGUGUUGCUAAAUAUCCUACAAUGCACACAGCACAGACACACAACGAAGAACAUUCCAGCCCCCGUGUCAGUAGUACAGCGGCCUCGAGGAGGAAGGGAGGCCGUGCCUGUGAAGAACCCGGGACUGGGCCUGGCUCAUGCUCCGUGUUGGCAAGGGACCUUUCUUUUCUAAGGCCUUCUCUCAGCCUGGACACCCAAGCCGGUGGGCAGAGGUGGAGUGGGCAUAUACUCACAUGAGAAUUCUGAGAAAUGAUCUUGGUGUUUCUGCCACACCCAGCCUGGGGCAGAGUUUCUAGAAGAGUCUGGUGCUCACUCAUGAACCCUUUCAACAAGGACAAAGCAGGCCCUGGAAGGAGCGGCCCGCCCUCGGGCUGCUCACCCUGCCACCUCCAGCAGGCCUCCCCGUGACCCAUCCCCCACCCCUCUCACUUGCAUUUGUGAGGGAGAGAGGGGAGAGGAUGGGGCAGAAGCCCUCCUCUGAGCUCUCCUCAGACCCGCCGAGGCCGGGCAGGCAGGAGGACGUGCUAGCGGCAGCCCUGCACAGAGGCAGGGGACGGCUCCAGGGCACCUUCGAAGGUGUGUGAAGCUGAGUCAAGGAGCUGGCAAGCCCUCCUGCCACUCACCUCAGCGGGCAGCUGGUUCUCCUUCAGCCUCAGCAGCCGUGGGGUCAAGUGUCUGCUCUACAGAAGCUGGUCCCAGAUAAGCCACCGCCUUCUUCCCUGGGAUGGGGUGGUGUAGCCCCAUCAGAACCCCCACACCCUGGCCCCUGAGCUCCGCUUUGCUGGUUUACCCAACUCAAGUAAAAUGGAUUAUCGGAUUACGGUCGGAGUGGGUGGAAGGGUCAGGUCGAUCAACAGAGAUGGGACUCUUAGACCCCUUUCUGACACUGCUCAUUUGUGGGGUCUGGGGGAUUGGGGCAUUGCAAUCACACCCUCUCCCCUCGGGUCUCAAUUUCAGGCACGUGUUUAAUGGGGCACACCACCUUCCAAACCUUCGGUGUGAGGCUGUGUGGGGGUGGGGCUUCUGUCUGCGUCUGGAAGCCCAGCUGACUUCACGACAAGCCCAGACACGCAGCUGUUUCUGAAACAGAAGCCGCAGCGGUGGGGGAAGCGCCAAGCGCCGAGGCUGGGGGCAGAGAGGAGACCCCCGGACACCAGACUGAUGUGUACAGUUAACAGGGCCUAACCAAAGGGUCUGCACUGCGUCUCCAGGUGGGAGCUGCCUCCUGCCAUGGGAGUCUUCUCUGGGGAAACAUUUUUGUCUUGAUUGGAAAUUUCUUCCUGAUGUGUGACAUGUGACCUCCACCUCUUCUUCUAGAGCUUGGCUCUGCUGCCAGGCUGAGGCUGCCCACCUCCCCCGAAGUCCCCUCCCCUCCAAUACUCUGUUCCUUCCCAGGGAUGCUCAGAGGCUGCAGGGCAUCUUGCCUUAUGCUGGUCCUCCCCUGCAGGGACGCCAAAGCUGGGGGAGGGGCACCUGGGCCUGUCUGGCUUCCUGCCCAAGAAUAGAAAACUGAGGGUCACAGAGAAAAUGACAGCCUAAAGCUGGUGGCUACUCAGAGCAGCCUGGGACGGCGGUCUGAGCUUCCUGGGACGAGGCCUGGCGUCUGGGUGCCCUGUAACUCAGCAGGCCCCUCGGGAGUCGCCCCACGGUGGUGCGGGGGAGAGCAGACUGCAGAGUGGACUUGGGGAUUUAUUCCAGUCACAGAUGCUCUCCCUCUAAUCCUCACCCCCUCCUUUUUCCUUUUCAGCAGCAGUUAUAAAAUCCAGGAAAUAAAUGUGGAUUGAUGGCCUAUAAAGGGCUUAGUUAGUGCUGUGACCUGCCGAGUUAUGUAACUCCUAUUUAUUAUCAGCCUUGGAUGAAGUUUCCAUUGAAGCAACUCACUAAGCCGAUUCCGUGACAUUUCCUUUAGCCUUGUUCAGAGGUGGCUGUGGCAGAAAUUCCUCUGCAACUUCAAAGACCAGAAAUUGGUGUGAUGCCAAAGGGGGCCUAGGGAGAAGCUCUCUGAAGGCUCAGCUGCCGUCCUAAAGUAGACUUUUGGAGACCUCUUCCCAGGUUUGAGAAGGAAAAGAUGGAUACCUGUCCAAGGGAGUGGAAGACCCAGAGAACUUAACAGUGUCUCUCUUCCUAAUUAAGACAUAUUCCUCCCAUUCAUGGAAGUGAUGCCUUGAUGCCUCAGGGACAAACUGGUGCAUCAAACAAAGUAGCUGGUUUGUACCAAGUGGUACAGGCUGCGUGAAUUCCCUCCAUAAGGAUCUGGCUGGGCAUGAAGGCUGUUAGUCCAUACAACCCAAACUGUACACGGCACCGAUGAUCCCCCCCUCAAAGAAUGUCACCUUAGAAGUAGCCUUCGAGCUCAUCUGAGCCAAGCCCUGGCUUUUACUGAUAAGGAAACUGAGUCCAGAGAGAGAUGACGACUUUGGAUAAAUCAGCGGCAGGGAGGGGCUACACCUAUGAUUCCUUAUCGUGACUUGGUUUUUGAGAUGCUGAUAUCUGGUUCACAUCAUAUCACACCAGAGGAGUCUUUGGAAGAAAGGGCUGUCAUCUUGGGGCCCCAGAAACAUGGCCUUAACACGGGGGAGGAUGGUCUGAUAAACCCGCAGUUGGGCAAAGCCCAGGACUGGGUCUCUAAAUCAGCCAAGGCUGCCGAGAGACAUCUGCCCACAGGCAUCUGCCCACUGUCGGCUCCUCUCCACCCAGGCUCCUCCAGGAAGGACAAAUGCUUGAGAUGCCUCUAAGAAUCAGUACUGGAGUCUUUUUUGGUGAAGAACAUGCUAAACUUUUGCUCCUAGUUCCUUCCUUACAGCCCCAGGUAAAUUCUCCAAGAUAGAAAUGUAGACUGGCUACAAAAUAAAAGCCCGUUUCCACAGAAGCCUAACAGGCUGAAAUGCAGCAAAAGGUGAGCCGCUGAAAAUUCACCCCAGGACUUGUCACUUGUCUGGGCUAGCCAAAGGUCAGGCAAAGUCAGCUGGACGAGAAAAGACAACAGGAAAAGACAUCGAGGCCUCCGAGGGGGGAGGAUACAAAUAUUUGUUUACUGGUGAGUAGCACUGUACAUGAUCUCAUUUAAUCUUCCCAACAAUCCUGUGCGGAAGAUAGCAUUCUACAAUACUCCUGAUGAAGAAAUUCAUUUUUGAAAGACCGCUCCACUCUCUUUGGGCGUGAGAUGUCCUCAAAAAUCUUAACAGAUGGAGGUUUGCUUUCUCGCUCGGGCAGAGCAAUGCUAAGCUUUUUAAUCAUGCAGAAAGCAUAUGACCCUCCCUGCCACCAUUCUACACUCUGCCGUGCAUCUCAUGUUAAUAUUUGAUUUAGUUCUGUACGUCUGCUCUCUACCCGCUUAUAUGCAGUGACUGGAAGUUUAAUUCUUGUCAUAAAGCAUUAUGAGCAACAGAUACUGAAUAAAUAUGUUUUGAUGGCAUCUAAAAU